CAAAAUGAAAAAGAAAAUUGCAGAUGCAAAAACUAAACAACAAAUCGAUGAUGUUUACCUCCGCGGCAGAAAUGAAGCCAUUUUGGUCCUUAUCAAAGACCUUGAAAGCUUCUCUGAGUUCCUCCUCAGAAUCACUUGCCUUCAUUUUUCGUGCCAUCAAAUUCAAAAACUCAGAAAAAUCUAUAGUGCCAUUUUGAUCAGCAUCAACUUCAUUGAUCAUGUCCUGCAAUUCAGCUUCAGUUGGAUUCUGUCCCAGUGAUCUCAUCACUGUCCCCAAUUCUUUGGUUGUAAUGCAGCC